CCAUCAUCACCACCAUAUGCGGUAGCCUUCGGACGUUCACUGCCGGAGGACUAUAUCCUUCUGGCGGACUGAUUCAAAGAUGAUCAUAAACCCCUGGAAGGAAUUCCGGGGGUUUUUGCUUU
rfam:Shewanella oneidensis MR-1, complete genome.